AACAAAAUGUGCUCUUUGCAUGCGAUGGGGCAUUUUUCAGCCAUAAAAAGAAAGGGACACCUUGACACCUGCUAUAGCAUGGAUGGACCCGAGGCCAUUGCACGGAGUGAAAUAAGCCAGUCACGGAAGGACAAAAGUACUUUAACUCACCUGUCAGCAUCUAUCAGAAUCAACACAGGAUGCCUCACCCACUGUGUCCGUGUAUAUGCAAAUUAAUUCAGUUUUCCUUGCGGAUGUAACUGCUCCAUGACAGAAUUACAGACCUGGGCUUGGGGCCUGGCAGUCCAAGUUCGCGGUGCUGCAGAUCUGGGGUCUGGCGAGAGAGGGCUUCCUCAUACGUGGCCGUCUUCCCACGGAAGCCUCACAUCGUGCAAGGAGGAGCUACUGCUUGGUGGGGGGUGUCCUGUUACAAGGGACUCAUCCCAGGCCUGAUAUACGCAUCCUUAUGACCUCAUCAUCUCCCAGAGGACACACUUCCCAACACCAUCCCAUUGGGAAUUAGGAUUUCAACAUACACAUUUUAGGGGAGACACACACAUUCAUUCUAUAGUAAGUGGUGAACAAAUCAUAUGAAAAUCCCUGUGCUCACGGACCUUAAGAUCCAGUGAACGUGUCUCGUACAUGCCCCAUGCUUUUCCGAUUAUGUGAUGAUUCGUGUGCUCCAUGGAAUGCUCUUCCUUCUCAUUAUUCACCGUGAAAUCCUCUCCUUCCUUAACAUCCGGCUCAAAUUCUACUUCCUUCCUCCAAAUCACCUUGACUCCUUCAGCUAGAAUUCAGGGUCACCUAUGGAUCGGGCAUGUGGUCUACAGUGAGCCCUCGUGAUGGUUUCCUUGAAUGUUUAAACCUCUCAUUCUUCACCUCUGUGCUGACACUCAUCAUGGUUAUUUAUGUUAGUGACCCCUCUCUUCCCUGAAACUUAAAACUUUUUGCAGAUAAUGUCUAGGACUUAUCCGUCUUU
rnacentral:lncRNA from 1 species